GUUUGAUCAUGGCUCAGGAUGAAUGCUGGCGGCGUGGAUAAGGCAUGCAAGUCAAGGGGGCCCGCAAGGGCAACCGGCAGACGAGGUAGUAACACGUAGGUACUCCCCUCGAAGUCUGGUAUAGCUCGUCGAAAGACGGGGUAAUUCCGGAUGGUCUCAAGAGAGUAAAGAUUUUUCGCUUCGAGAGAGGCCUGCGCAAUAUCAGCUUGUUGGUGAGGUAACGGCUCACCAAGGCUACGACGUUUAGGGGAGCUGAGAGGCUGACCCCCACCGAUGGGACUGAGACACGGCCCAUACUCCUACGGGAGGCUGCAGUCAAGAAACUUCCGCAAUGGGCGAAAGCCUGACGGAGCGACGCCGCGUGAUGGACGGAGUACUUCGGUACGUAAACAUCUUUUAUGAGGGACGAAAUUUUUGACGGUACCUCAUGAAUAAGGGGCUCCUAACUCUGUGCCAGCAGGAGCGGUAAUACAGAGGCCCCAAGCAUUAUCCGGAAUCACUGGGCGUAAAGGGUGUCGAGGCGGUUGUAUUAGUCGUUUGUAAAAUCCGUGAGCUCAACUUACGGUUCGCAAGCGAAACGGUACAACUAGAGGUUGGGAGAGGUGCGUGGAACUCACGGUGUAGGGGUGAAAUCCGUUGAUAUCGUGGGGAACACCAAAGGCGAAGGCAGCGCACUGGCCCAAAUCUGACGCUCACACACGAAAGCUAGGGUAGCGAACGGGAUUAGAUAUCCCGGUAGUCCUAGCCCUAAACGUUGCUCGCUCGUUCUGCGGAGUAUCGACCCUCUGCGGGACUAAGCUAACGCGGUAAGCGAGCCGCCUGGGUAGUACGAGCGCAAGCUUAAAACUCAAAUGAAUUGACGG
rnacentral:rRNA from 1 species